CGCAUCCCCCCAGGGCUUGGAUCUCCUGCCGCCAGCUCGUACAGAGGCCAGGCUGGAGGGGAGCGAAGGGCGCACACGUGGGCGCGAGUGCGGGCCACUCUUUGGAAAAGUCUGGCUACAAAGAUGAACAUCGCGUCCAGAAUGCACCGGAACUGGACGCAUCCGCGGUCCCCUCUGCAGCAGCCACAGGUUGGUUUAUGGCCACCCCGCAUCUGUUCACCCCAGGACUGAAACAGGCCUAGAUCUGCACAGCGAUUCAGGGUGAGCACAGAGUCAAACAGGCCCGGUCUCAGCUGCUCCAGGGGUUCGGCCUGGCUGACCUGGGAGAUGACCCCCCCUCUUUCCUGAUAGAUUUGAACCUGAGAAUAAAGCCAACAUCCUGCCUUACACAGAGGCUGGGACUAAUAACAGGCACACGGACUGUGCAUUUGCUCCCUGCCAGGCACCCUGCAUGCGUGAAUCUCAUCCAUCCCAAAAAUGCACUAGCGAGGCCCUGCCCCUCCCCGCUCUAGCCACCGAGGGAUUGAGCCCCUUGCACGGAUCACACGGCUGGCGAAUGAGGUGCCAGAGUUCACGUCCAGCUGUGUGAUUCCAAGUCCUCGCUCUUAACACCAGACCACCCUGUCAGAGGCUGACAGCAGUGAGCAGACCAAGCCACGGAAGGAGGAGGAACCAACAUUGACUGAGACCUGAGUCACAGCAGGCCUGAGCCUUGACAGCCUUGGCCAGGGUCAGAGUUCCAUAGGAAACAUCUCAGUAUCUUGCCCCAAGAACAUCGAAGUCCCCGGCACAUCCCACAAUCUGGCUCUCCAAGCACUGAGUUGAACAGACAGCAAAGGCAGGAAGUUGGAUGAAGAAAGCCUUUGCCAGUGCAGCCGGGUGGCUCAGUCCAUUGAGCAUCCAACUUCAGCUCAGGUCAUGAUCU